CUGGGGCUUGCUUUUCAGGUUCCUGGACACAUCAUGCUGUGAACAAUUCAACCAGAAACUUGCCUUAACUUAUCCAUAGAUGUUAACCUCUAACUUUCUUCCGACUGCUGCUGUGGAGAGCCGGUCCAAGUCUGCUUUACUCCUGAAAAUAACAAAACUAAGACAUUUUCAUUAUUAUCACCAGUGGUUAAAUAACCCAUUUCUCUGUCUCUGGUCAGAAACACCAAUUAUGCCAUGCAUGUAAGCGUGUUCUUCCCUGCAUUUUAUGUUAAUUGGGUGUAUACUACUUCUUCAUUAAAUUAAUUCAUUGAGUUCUUCGUUGCCUUGCGAUGUAUUCAUGUUAAUGUACACUACGUGUAAGCUGUUUCUUCAUUGCAUCCUAUAUAUUCAUAUUUAAUUUAUGCAUUUCACCACUGAGCUUUAGAUUCAAACUAUCUCACUUCUGAUUCAUUUCAAAAAUAUCUCACAUGUAACAAUUUGUAUGUGUGUUUUCUAUUCAUUAAGGUAAUGACAAUUAUUUCUUUCAUUAUUCUCACCUUUUCUAAUGUUUACCUCUUUGUUAUGCUGUAGUGGACAUCCCUAAACAAUUCAUGAGUUCAGGCUUCAAUUUUCAAUCCAAUUAUAUCCUAUAUUCUCGCAGUCAAACUCGUCCAGCUUCAUCUCUCACUGGUCCUCUCUGCACAAUGUCCUAUUCGGGCUUCAAAGCUCCAGCAAACACAGUCUCAACUCAGCUGCUGUCUUCUUCUCUGUUUCUUUACAGUCUUUUCUUUCAGAUUAAGUCCCAGCAUGGCAAAAUAUCACUCAAUGUCCAGUGCUCUUCCACAAUUCUUUAUCCCACUGUUCAACUGCCCAGCCUGUAUUUUCACAGUACAUGUUGCAUUAGUCUUACAUGCUGCUGCUGGUCGUCAGUCGUCAUCAGUGUUAAUGGAUCAGUGGCCCUGUCGUUUGCCUGCUGUAUUCAAGUCCACGAUGUUCUAUCUUCGUCAUCAGUGUUAAUGGAUCAGUGGCACUGUCGUUUGCCUGCUGUAUUCAAGUCCACGAUGUUCUGUCGGUCUUCAUCAGGCGAUUGACUGUCCUUGACUGUCCUUUGAGUUUCUUCUCAGUUUCAGGGACAAAGUGAGAGAUCAAGCUGCACAAUUUCGAGCCAAAGCCUGGCUUAUUCUCCCAAUUCUGUUAAUCUAUUGUUCUGGUGCUGCACUCAAGGUUCCAAAGUUGAGAGACGUCCACCUGUAUUGACACACUAAAGCAUACAAUUAGUAUUAUAUUCAUUUUUUCUUAAAGGCUUCAUUUGCUUCAUGUGCCUCAUCUGUCUCUCUGUGUUCUCUCUGUACACACUCAGUUCCUUUUAUGGGCAUGCAGAGUUCCUGUUCACUAUUUCCUGUUCUCUGCAGAGUCUGUCUCUCUUUAUAUUUAUAGUCUAAAAACCCUCUUUAAUUCUACUAAAUCUUGAUCUACAAAACAAUACACCUUCAUUUCACUCACACACAUUUAAAUAGAGCUCUUUCACACAUCAGAACAACUAACACUUCUCCACACACAUCACCCUUCACCCUUCUUUAGAUCAGUUUGUAGCGUAUACACUUAUAUGUUUUCCAUCAGAAAAAAUAAACUCAAUUUCUCCUAACCUCACUCAUGCGUUUCUUGAAUUAAAAGCACUUUCAAACUUUAAAACAUCCUACUUUACAUCACCAAAGAAAUAUAUUUCAUACACACUGAGAAC
ensembl:lncRNA